GGGUGACAGUGCUUGUUGUCAUUCCUCUAGUGAAUUAAGGCUUUUGUUCCCUAGGGGGAAGAGGGGAAGAUAAUUCAUAUGGAGCAUCACACCAGCUAUCUCCUGCUCCCUGUCCUGCACUGCAAAGGAGGCCUUUUCAUCCUCUCUACUGCCUCCAAUUUUUCUCACGAGGAAUGUGAGAGGAAAACCUAGAGCUUGUUCCUGAAGCAUGGUGCUAAGUCCAUAUGCAGCAGAUGGAGCUCAUGAGAAAAGAGUUGCUCUUGUGAAGACCAAAGCUUGAUAAUUCCAGAAGAUUUCAGCAUAGCAGAUAAAAUACAGCAAAUCCUAACCAGCACAGGUUUGAGUGACAAACGGGCCGGUUCCAUGGACACAGGUGACUUCAUCAGGUAUCUGCACAGCUUCACAGAAGAUUAUCUGGAUCUGGAGAAGAGGUGGGUGUCUCUGGGAAAGAAGCAGAGAGGCCCACAGACAGAAGGGAUUAGCCUUAUCUCAGAUGAGAUUUUGGACUUGGACUUUUGAAUUAAUCCUUCAAUGACCAUAGUUUAAGAAGAGAUAUCUUGAAAACACGGAAAGAGAAAAGUCAAUACAAUAUUUCCUAAUUUUUUAAGAGGUCAGAGAAGGGAGUUACUGUGUGGCCUGGAGCAGGUGAUUCUGACUACCAAGGGAAAAUUGGAGUACUACUCCACAAUGGAGGGUCUGCAGGAUGGACCCGGCAGCUGGUGCCCUGUGUGAGGAACGCUGCAACGGACUGCGACAGAACCCUCGAAAACGAAGGUGAAGAGACUGUGCAGUCAUGUGACAGACACAUCAAACCAUACCAUGGCGUGGCUAAGACCCAAGCUGGUAUCAAAAAUAAAGGAAACGACGCUGCAGGACCCGCAGCCCCAGACGAUGUGGCUUCCUCCGAUGACACAGGCCCCAGACAUUACCUGGGGGAAGCUGAAGAAGACAACUCAGGAGGCCGAGUGAAUCCUUCUCUGGACACAGACACCAUCACUCCAGAUAAUCUGUUCCUUGCUAUGCUCUCUAUUGUACCUUGCAACUCUCAUAGGGUAUUCACCUUUCUUAUUCUCUCACUUUGCCUGCAACUCAUACCUGCUACAUUCUAUUGGGCCCAUCUUCUAAGAUCUGCCUUUCUUCCAACCUGUUACCUUGGCAGACACCCCCUUCCCAUCCUCUAAUAAUGUAACUGCUUAGCUGGGAGGGGUUGACAUGCCCCCAGUGGGGUUCCUUAAUAAUGGCACACAUUGAACUGAGGUGCCAAGUAACACUACAUAUCUCUCCUUGAUUGGAAAAGAAUAAUAGUGACUAUACUAAUGUUUGACUUAUGUUAUUUACUAAUUCUAGGAUGCAAAGCCGGAACACGAGCUGUAACCGCUGCGCCUGUCAAAUCUGUCACUGCACACAUCUGUACUAUUCAAUCAACAAAACCCGAUGCUAAAAACAGAAAAGGGGGAGACGCGGGAGAUCGGUCAGAGUGGUAGGAGAAGGUAUAGGGAAAGGAACAGACCUUCUGAAAGGCGGGAAGGCUCUGGAUAGCUUCAGGGAUGAAUAAGCUGAAGGCAGCUGUUCUCUUACCCUGAGGCAGAGGGCAAGGGGUAGGUAAGGAAGUAUAGGGGAAUUUGGCAUAAACAGGCUUGUUUACUUACAUUGUCCGGAAACCGACUUUGAUCAUCAGGGCAGGAGACUGCUCCCUGAAAGGGGGAAUAAUAAUGUUAAUUACCCACAGAUUGUGUUGGCUCCAGGCUUUCAUUAUUUUGUCUGUACUGAAUAAAAGCAAGCAGCUCCAGCUGUUCGAGACUGCUCACUCUUCAGCCAUUAGUGCUGGGCAUUCCUGUAGCUGC
rnacentral:lncRNA from 1 species